rnacentral:rRNA from 1 species
GCUCCAAUAGCGUAUAUUAAAGUUGUUGCAGUUAAAAAGCUCGUAGUUGGAUUUCGGGAUGGGCCGGCCGGUCCGCCGCAAGGCGUGUUACUGACCGGGCUGUUCUUCUUCGCAAGACUGCAUGUGCUCUUAACUGAGUGUGUGUAGGAUUUGCGACGUUUACUUUGAAAAAAUUAGAGUGUUUAAAGCAGGCAAUUGCC